rnacentral:rRNA from 1 species
UAUGCUUGUCUCAAGAUUAAGCCUGCAUGUCUAAGUAUAAGCAAUUUAUACAGUGAAACUGCGAAUGGCUCAUUAAAUCAGUUAUCGUUUAUUUGAUAGUUCCUUUNGACAUGGGAUAACUGGNNNNNCUUAAGGUUAUUNGGANCGCCAAAAAGUUCCAA